GACGAACGCUGGCGGCGUGCUUAACACAUGCAAGUCGAACGGAAAGGCCCUGCUUGCAGGGUACUCGAGUGGCGAACGGGUGAGUAACACGUGGGUGAUCUGCCCUGCACUUCGGGAUAAGCCUGGGAAACUGGGUCUAAUACCGGAUAGGAGCCAUUUUUAGUGUGAUGGUUGGAAAGUUUUUUCGGUGUAGGAUGAGCUCGCGGCCUAUCAGCUUGUUGGUGGGGUAAUGGCCUACCAAGGCGGCGACGGGUAGCCGGCCUGAGAGGGUGGACGGCCACAGUGGGACUGGGAUACGGCCCAGACUCCGACGGGAGGCAGCAGUGGGGAAUAUUGCACAAUGGGCGCAAGCCUGAUGCAGCGACGCCGCGUGGGGGAUGACGGCCUUCGGGUUGUAAACUCCUUUCGCUAGGGACGAAGCUUUUUGUGACGGUACCUAGAGAAGAAGCACCGGCUAACUACGUG
rnacentral:rRNA from 1 species